rnacentral:rRNA from 1 species
UAGGGAAUUUUUCACAAUGAGCGAAAGCUUGAUGGAGCAAUGCCGCGUGAACGAUGAAGGUCUUUAAGAUUGUAAAGUUCUUUUAUUUGGGAAGAAUGACUUUAGCAGGUAAUGGCUAGAGUUUGACUGUACCAUUUUGAAUAAGUGACGACUAACUAUGUGCCAGCAGUCGCGGUAAUACAUAGGUCGCAAGCGUUAUCCGGAUUUAUUGGGCGUAAAGCAAGCGCAGGCGGAUUGAAAAGUCUGGUGUUAAAGGCAGCUGCUUAACAGUUGUAUGCAUUGGAAACUAUUAAUCUAGAGUGUGGUAGGGAGUUUUGGAAUUUCAUGUGGAGCGGUGAAAUGCGUAGAUAUAUGAAGGAACACCAGUGGCGAAGGCGAAAACUUAGGCCAUUACUGACGCUUAGGCUUGAAAGUGUGGGGAGCAAAUAGGCUUAGAUACCCUAGUAGUCCACACCGUAAACGAUAGAUACUAGCUGUCGGGGCGAUCCCCUCGGUAGUGAAGUUAACACAUUAAGUAUCUCGCCUGGGUAGUACAUUCGCAAGAAUG